rnacentral:snRNA from 1 species
GUGCUCGCUUCGGCAGCGCAUAUACUAAUAUUGGAACGAUGCAGAGAAGAUCGGCGUGGCCUGACGUGCAAACCGUGAAGUGUUCCAUAUUUUA